rnacentral:rRNA from 1 species
GACGAACGCUGGCGGCGUGCCUAACACAUGCAAGUCGAGCGAAUGAAGUUCCUUCGGGAACGGAUUUAGCGGCGGACGGGUGAGUAACACGUGGGCAACCUGCCUCAUAGAGGGGAAUAGCCUUCCGAAAGGGAGAUUAAUACCGCAUAAGAUUGUAGUACCGCAUGGUACAGUAAUUAAAGGAGUAAUCCGCUAUGAGAUGGGCCCGCGGCGCAUUAGCUAGUUGGUGAGGUAACGGCUCACCAAGGCGACGAUGCGUAGCCGACCUGAGAGGGUGAUCGGCCACAUUGGGACUGAGACACGGCCCAGACUCCUACGGGAGGCAGCAGUGGGGAAUAUUGCACAAUGGGGGAAACCCUGAUGCAGCAACGCCGCGCGAGUGAUGACGGCCUUCGGGUUGUAAAGCUCUGUCUUCAGGGACGAUAAUGACGGUACCUGAGGAGGAAGCCACGGCUAACUACGUGCCAGCAGCCGCCGUAACAC